CUUGACGGAGCCGAGCCGCACCGGCUCGGCGCGGUCCUGCCCGUACGUGGCCAGCAGCGCCUGCGCCUC
rnacentral:antisense_RNA from 1 species